ensembl:lncRNA
UGAGGAUGAUAAGGAUGAGGAUGAUGAGGAUGAUGAUGAAGAUGAUGAUGAUGAUGAGGAUGAUGAUGAGGAUGAUGAGGAUGAGGAUGAUGAUGAUGAUGAUGAUGGUGAUGAUGAUGAUGAUGGUGAUGAGGAUGAUGAUGAGGAUGAUGAUGAUGAUGAUGAGGAUGAUGAUGACGAGGAUGAUGAUGAGGAUGAUGAGGAUGAGGAUGAUGAUGAUGAUCAUGAGGAUGAUGAUGAUGAUGAUGGUGAUGAUGAUGAUGUGAUGAUGAGGAUGAUGAUGAUGAUGAUGAUGAUGAUGAUGAUGGUGAUGAUGAUGAUGAUGAUGAUGAUGAUGAUGAUGAUGAUGAUGAUGAUGAUGAUGAGGAUGAUGAUGAGGAUGAUGAGGAUGAGGAUGAUGAUGAUGAUGAUGAUGAUGAUGAUGAUGAUGAUGAGGAUGAUGAGGAUGAUGAUGAUGAUGAUGAUGAUGAUGAUGAUGAUGAUGAGGAUGAUGAUGAGGAUGAUGAGAUGGAUGAUGAUGAUGAUGA